UACGUAGGGUGCGAGCGUUAAUCGGAAUUACUGGGCGUAAAGUGUGCGCAGGCGGCCGCGCAAGUCGAGUGUGAAAGCCCCGAGCUUAACUUGGGAAUUGCGCUCGAAACUACGUGGCUGGAGUGUGGCAGAGGAAGGCGGAAUUCCAGGUGUAGCGGUGAAAUGCGUAGAGAUCAUGAGGAAGACCAGUGGCGAAGGCGGGUCUCUGGACAGUUCCUGACGCUGAGGCACGAAGGUCAGGGGAGCAAACGGG
rnacentral:rRNA from 1 species